rnacentral:rRNA from 1 species
GACGAACGCUGGCGGCGUGCUUAACACAUGCAAGUCGAGCGGUAAGGCCCUUUCGGGGGUACACGAGCGGCGAACGGGUGAGUAACACGCGGGUGACCUGCCCUCAGCUCUGGGAUAAGCCUGGGAAACCGGGUCUAAUACUGGAUAUGACUCCAUGACGCAUGUUGUGGGGUGGAAAGCCUUGUGCGGCUGAGGAUGGGCCCGCGGCCUAUCAGCUUGUUGGUGGGGUGAUGGCCUACCAA